rnacentral:other from 1 species
UUUACCCUGCCCUGUUCGUGAUUGGUGGCAAAUCCUUGAACCGUAGUAAAGUGAUCCCGGAGCCUUAGCCGAGGUUGUGGCCGACAGGCCUUGACUGGAAGUCGAAAGCAGCCCGGCCGGUUCCACAUGUUGUAUAACAUGUUCAAAGGAUACUGCCGCACACGGCGAGGGCGGGGGGUUA